CUACAAAUUCCAUGUAGUUUUAUGGUCUCAUAAAGGGAUUCAUAAUUAUUAAUACGCAAAGGUUUGAAAUAUUUUAAAUGGAGUAUGGAAUGGGUAAACAACCCUAUCUAGCGACGCAUUGCGAUUAUUUUUUUUAACGACUCAUCUGAAUCGAUUCCGUGGGCUGCGGCUACGUGUGCACGGCAUCUGUGGUUGAUCCCAGCAGGUUCUUGAAGAAGGUUUUGGUACGGGUCUUUAUUACUGUGUGAAUCUAUGACCACGUAAGUCACUGAAGCAAUAAUACUCUCCACUGUCUUCAUUCUGGGCUCCAUUGAUGACCAGCUGGAAAUUUUUAUUUAUUCCAUUUCCACUAAAUCGAGAUGGGAUGGAAGAAUAUCGGAUAUGUCCAUGAUAGAUGAGGAGUUUAGGAGCAUCUCCCGGUUUCUUGAGAUUGAAGUCAGUGUGAGCGCCAUUGCCGCUGAAUCUAGAUGGGAUGUUUGAGUGGCGUUCGCGUAUGAGAUAAAUGAGGAGUUUGGGAGUGUGUCCAGGUUUGUGCUGGUACCAGAACACACAGUUCCUCCAGAGACUACAGUCAGCAACAGAUGUCAGAGGUGACUGAGGGCUGAAGAAAGUGAGCAGAAUGGGUUAUUCAGCUGCAAUAAAGUUCCUCAAGUAAUGCUGGGAGACAGGAGAGCUGUAUGUCUGCAGAGUAACACAUGCCAAGAUCCCAUACGCCAGGCAAUCCUGAUGCUUCCCAGUAGGUCCUGCUCUCUCCUGGGAAUGAAGCCAUAUCUGAGUCCCCUAUGACAGGUUUUCCCGCAGUCAGUCAACAAUCUACACCUUCUCACAGAGCUUCAACACAUUAAAGACCAGACCUGAAUUCCCAGGUUCAAGGCUGUUUCUGGCUAUUUUAAUGCCAUAUAGGUGGACUGUUUCCCUUGUUGGCAUCUCCUUAACAGGCAACCAUCUAGUUUGGCUAGAAACGGCCCUGUCUGGGGUGAAAAUCUUAAUUAAAAUCUUCUAAUCGGCACAAUCUGCCACAGCCUGCACCUCUUGCAUUGGCAUUUCGCUUGACAUCCAAAACUUACAGAACUGCAGCUCUGAGCAGUUAAUGCUGAAUACCAAAUCGCCUCUUUGUCUCCGUAGCUGUGCUUUAGACAUUAAAAAAAGUGAGGAAUAUCGAUUACGCUGUCGCUCGUGUGAAGGGGGACAGGUCCUUUCCUGAUUAAUUUGUAGGAAAAUGCACCUUGUGGCUCCUCCCUUGACACAGUGUUUAUUCAGCAGAAAUAAUUGGUAAUAGCUGAAAGAUAACGUGAGCAGAAUGGUCAUAUUUCUGCCUGUGCCGGUAACGUCUCAUGCAUUUUUAUGCAGUACAGCAGCAGUAUUAGAACCGAUAAUGUUCAGUAAUUAAAGCUGCAUGAGUGGGUGAAAUGGAGCCUGUACUGAAACUCAUUGCUUAUUUUGUAUAGUGCAGUGGUGCUUAUUUCAGUUGGCGGACCAUUAAAAAAAAAAAAGUGACCACCA